rnacentral:rRNA from 1 species
CCCUUAGAUGUCCUGGGCCGCACGCGUGCUACACUGACGCAUACAGCGAGCACUUUCCAGUUCCGAGAGGCUACUGGUAAUCAUCAAUAUGCGUCGUGAUGGGGAUAGGUCUUUGGAAUUCUGGAUCUUGAACGAGGAAUGCCUAGUAAUCGCAGGUCAUUAGCCUGCGAUGAUUAAGUCCCUGCCCUUUGUACACACCGCCCGUCGCUACUACCGAUUUCGAGUGGUCAGGUGAAUCUUUCGGACUGUGGGCGCCCUUGAGGUGUUCGCGGAAAGUCAGGUAAAUCUUAUCACUUAGAGGAAGUAAAAGUCGUAACA